UCUGCGGGCAGGAGCGCGCGGGCUGUCACCCGCGGACAGCCUUGGGCCCACCCUGGGCCAGGCGCUCCCCAGGUGCGUCCCAGUGACCAGGGGAGGUAAGUCCCAUCCCGGGGAGGAGCGAACUGCAGCUCAGGGAAGUGACGUGAACAUAAAGUCACUCAGUCGUGUCCGACUCUUUGCGACCCCACGGACUAUACAGUCCAUGGAAUUCUCCAGGCCACAAUACUGAAAUGGGUCACCUUUCCCUUCUCCAGAGGAUCUUCCCAACCCAGGGAUCGAACCCAGGUAUCCCGCAUUGCAGCGGAUUCUUUACCAGCUGAGUCACAAGGGAAGCCCAAUUGUAGCUCAGAUGGUUCAGUAACUAAGGAAACAGCUAGGCAACCGGCAGGAGCAAGCCGCGGGGGUCCACAUCAACACGCUCUGAACAGACUCGGGCCACUGUGCCUUGGGGCCUGGGUUUGCUGCCAUGGAGAAGUAGGGCGCGGAAACCCCAGAGCCGAAGGUCACACAGCAGGUCCCACUGCUCGGAGAAACGGGCCUCCCCGAACCAGUCCAUGGCCUUGAAACGCAGCCUUACUUGUCCCUUCUGUACCACCUGGUGCCCUACCUGGGAUGUUGUUUUCCUUGAGGAUGGCAAGGUGCUUCUCUCGGAUCCGUUUGACGUACUCCAGGGAGAUGUGGUAGAUCUUGCUGCAGAUGCCUUCCACGGAGUCCUUGGCUGCGGCCGAGACAUGGGGGCCACACUGCCUCCGCAGGUGUUCCAGGCGAUCCUGGGGGAGAGAGACUCCUGGUCAGGCUCUGGGGGCUGGCGCGGGAGGGCUGUCAGAUCCCAACUGUCCUCGUCCUGAAACAGGCUCUGCUACUUACUAGCUGUGUCACUUAGACAAAUCCCUUAGCAUCACUGAAUCUUAUUCCUCAACAGUUAAGGGAACACAAAAUACUUACCUAACAAGGCAGUUUGAAUAUUAAAUGCAGUCAUUCCCAUUA